GAGAGAGAGAGAGAGAGAGAGAGAGAGAGAGAUGAUAGAAUUUUCCCUCUGCCAGGAACCACAUACAGCAGUUGGGGGGCAAAUGGGGAGAUGGGCAGGACCUGGAGCAAUCUCUCUCUCUCUCUCUCUCUCUCUCUCUCUCUCUCACACA
rnacentral:miRNA from 1 species